rnacentral:pre_miRNA from 1 species
UCAUGUUUGUGUGUGGAUGGUGUUCAGCACCAGGUACAGGUUAUGGUUGUGUGUGGAUUGUGUUCAGUACCAGGUACAGGUCAUGUUUGUGU